UCUCCCAUCCAAGUACUAACCAGGCCCGACCCUGCUUAGUUUCUGAGAUAAGACGAGAUCAGGCGUGUUCAGGGUGGUAUGGCC
rnacentral:sRNA from 1 species